UCCUGCAUUGCAGGUGGAUUCUUUACCAGCUGAGCUAUCAGGGAAGCUUGCGUCUGUAAAGAAGAUGCUAAACAUCCUAGUGGCCUACCGUGAAAUAAUAUUUGUUUAUUGUGGCUGAUUUUGUAGCAAAUAUGAUUGGUAUAUUUACUCACUUCUUAGAACUGGGUGAAAAUAACAGGACAGACCAAGUGAACUGCGGCAACUAAACAUGCUAACAACAAGGGAGAAAGGGCUAUAGAUUAUAGAAAAUCAUAAAUUGUGAUCAUGCAAAGAAGGAGCUUCACUGUAGCUUGAAAACCUGACCCAUAGCUAAAUGGGGCCAAAAUUAAUCAUGUCUUGAUCUUAUACAUAAGCCAAAGGAUCUUUUCUAAAGAUCAUGCCUAUUAGAGCAGUAAAGACUUUUCUGCAGGUUAUACCAUAAUGAGCUUCAGGCAUUUAAUGAGGGAGACAAGUGCUAUUGUUAAAAGUGGUAACCUUCAGCAUCUAAUGUGAAAAUGAAAUAGGGCUGCUUGCUCUGCCAAACGAGGGAUUGCUCUCCAAUUCAGUCCAUGAGAUGAAGAGGACUCUCAUAAUCUUAGAUGCUCUGAUGAAGGCAAAUUUAAAUCUUCUGGGAAAGGGGGAAAGGCUUUGGUUGGUUUUGUUUUUAUAAUUAGGUAAGGAUUUUACCUGCAAGGAGCAAGUCACUGACUCCAGGCUUCAGGCCCAGAAGCGUCUAAAGGCAGUAAAAUAAAACCAGCACCAAGGAACAAACCAGCCUAAGGGUCUCGAUGCAGUUUCCCAAAAGCCUCUGGAAGAAUAGACAGCAUUUUGAGGAGGGGAGACUUGGCUUCCAUCUCCAUCACAAUAGCUAUCUCAGAUGAGGGUAACUGCCUGGCCAAAAAAAAAAAAAUAUUACCAGCAUGAAAGAAAGUGUCAUCUCACCCCGAACCCCCAGAAAUCUCCUGUCUAAGAAUUUAUGUUAAGCUGGAUCCUCUCCUACAUUGCUAUGCAGUAGGAAGUGCCAACACGUGACCCUGACCCUCUUCCCCCUCAGUGAGGCCCUCACUGACUGUCCCCACAGCAGACAGGAUGCUACCUCAUGUCCUGGAGCUCACUGCAGAUUCCUGCCCCACUUGCUGCAUUCUGGCUUCCUCUUGCAAUUCCCAAGAGACAGAGGGCGGCAGGGGCAGGAAGGGAAGGAACAGAGGCUGAAAACCUUUAGAUGCCUGAGCUGCUUCGCCCUGGUGGGUCAGCCUUUCUGGGCAAGAAGAGGGUAGGGAUAGGGGGAUCCUCUCAGCUGCUUCCAAAGGACCCUUUCUUAAAACUAGGGCAGCACAAAACAAGCCAGGUCAUUGUGUUCCUGGAUAUAAAUAUUGAUUCUCGGUGGUGGUAACAUUCUGUUCAUAAGAAGGAUGUAACAUAUUUCUCCCACACCGUAUUAGACUGAUGUGCUGUUUGUCCAAGAGAAGUACAGAUUACUGGCUUCUGCAGGGGAAAUGUGGACAUUUAAAUGCAUGCAGCUUUCAGAAGUCUAGGGAGCUGUCUUGGAAUAGAAACCAGGUCCCUUUCCUGGCUCCAGCCCUUCCCUCCUCUGUCCAGUGUCUCCUUUCCGGACUCCAUGUUGCAUACCGCAUUGGCAUUUCUAAUCGCUUGUAACUUAGGAAGAUGCUUUCUUAGAAUUACAUCUUGUUUCACAAGAACCUGGAAAUGUGGGCACUUGCUCUCUUUGGGAGGGAGGCGUGGAAGGUCAAGGCCGAACAUUUUUUGCUUUCUUCCCCUCAGGGGAAAGAUCUGGGUGGUCCCCGCUCCUCUGUUUUCUUUUUCACCCCACGUGGGAGGGCAGGGCAAAGGCUUUAGACCAGAGGUGGUCCCUCGGAACAUUCCACCCAGGCCUGACCAAGCCCCAGAUUCAGAGGCGCUGGCCGCCUUGGCAAGACAAAUUCCCCGCAUUCCACAAGUGCUCUUGAGGGAGAAAUAGCGCUAAUGAGAAAGUGGAGUUCUGGAUGUGUGUGCAUGCUCACUCGGUGCCAGCGCGUCUCACAGACAGAUCCCGGGCCAGCAGUAUUUCGUAAGAGUGGUGGAGCCGGGCUCCAGAUGCGGGAGCCGCAGUGACACAUGUGCUGUCAGGAGAGCCAGCGCCCUCUGCUGUCCCGGCCCGGAAGCACCACGGCGGUGGGGAAGACUCCGGGGCCUCUGGAAAGCGGGCGGCGGUCAGAAUCCACCGCGGACCCCGGCGGGUGAGGAGGCCAGGCAGCUCCUCGCCCGUCCAAAUAAUGGGUCUGCGAGGGGCUGCACUCCCUCCGUCGAGCUGGCCCUCUUAAUGUUUGGGGGUUGAGAAAGAGCCAAAAAUGGGGAGGAUUUAUAAUAAUAAAACUCCAGGCUCCAGCAGCAUCCGCUGGUCCCAUCCCUGAGAAGGUGAGGAACAGCAGGGCCAGCUCCUAUCCCCGAACCUGGCCGGCAGGCCCGGGCCAGGCCAAAUCAAGAGGGCGGCCGGCCCAGGAGGACACCUCCCCGCUGCAGAGCAGCCCUGCGGCCACUCCCUCGCCUGGGAAUGCGGCUUCUGGAGGCCUUGCUGGCUCCGAGGCUGCCAGCCGAGGGGAAGUUGUUACUGCUCCCACUCAGGCAUGCUGGCAUCUCCUAGGGGCUGGCACCUCAGAGAGACUGGCUCAGCUUACAAGCUAAGAGCGAACUGCCGCCCCCUCUGCUCCACCGCUUGCCAAGACAGCGGCUCAGCAGCGGCCCAGGGUCAGGCUUGCUGCUGCAGUGUGUGUGUGUGUGUGUGUGUGUGUGUGUGUGUGUGUGUGUGUGUGUGUGUGUGUGUGUGUGUGUGUGUGUGUGUGUCUAUGUGAUGGUGAAAGAUAGGGUGGAGAUACUGCUGCAGUGUGUGUGUGUGAUGGUGAAAGAUAGGGUGGAGAUAUUCAGGUGGGGGUCAGAGGGAGGCUGGCGAAUGGCACUGCCAUUUGGACAACUUUGAAGUUUUGCAAAUAGGCACUAAACAAUCACUUAUUGUUUUUUGGCAGGUUUUUAAUUUUUCUUUUCUUUUUGGUAAACGGAUCUCCUCCCUGUUGGGAGAAGAAAAACCCAACCACCAAACAAACCCCUCACAACAAUGCCCUUCUCUCUCUGGGACCAAUUUCCAGACUGCACAGCAGUCCUGACAAGGUCAACAAGCUGGAGCGGUUUGGAAAAACACCAGAUUCUUUAACCUGGUAUUUCAUGCCCAGCAUCAUGCUCCUGGACCCCUCAGCUGGACAUCAGUCUGCAUCUCCGAGGUCCUGUCUCCAGGAAUCCACACUGGAAUCAGUAAGAGGUGGAGUACCCAAGCUCGGGCUGGAUGGGCCAGGCCUCAUGCGUGCCUUGGCACCAGCAAAGCAAGGCAUGCCCCAGACGAGAAGUUUUGGAAAAACGAUCCAGUUUUGAAAAAUCGUUGUAGAGUCAUAGUGGAAGAACUCAGACCAUGGCAGGACUUCUUACUCUUAUUUUGUGAUUUAGGAUUAGCUUUAUUUUAAUUUGUAGUUUGUAAGUGGAGGGGGGUUGGGGCGCGUUUUAUUCUUUUCUCCAGGCUCAGGUCCCGUAAAUAAAGGUCUUCAUCUGACCCUGCAUAGGUCUGGAGAAUACUCUUGAGAAUCCCUUGGACAGUAAGGAGAUCAAACCAGUCAG